rnacentral:rRNA from 1 species
CCUACGGGGGGCAGCAGUGAGGAAUAUUGGUCAAUGGACGAGAGUCUGAACCAGCCAAGUAGCGUGAAGGAUGACUGCCCUAUGGGUUGUAAACUUCUUUUAUAUGGGAAUAAAACGUUCCACGUGUGGGAUUUUGUAUGUACCAUAUGAAUAAGGAUCGGCUAACUCCGUGCCAGCAGCCGCGGUAAUACGGAGGAUCCGAGCGUUAUCCGGAUUUAUUGGGUUUAAAGGGGGCGUAGGUGGAUUGUUAAGUCAGUUGUGAAAGUUUGCGGCUCAACCGUAAAAUUGCAGUUGAAACUGGCAGUCUUGAGUACAGUAGAGGUGGGCGGAAUGCGUGGUGUAGCGGUGAAAUGCUUAGAUAUCACGAAGAACUCCGAUUGCGAAGGCAGUUCACUGGACUGCAACUGACACUGAGGCUCGAAAGUGUGGGUAUCAAACAGGAUUAGAUACCCUUGUAGUC